rnacentral:lncRNA from 1 species
AUCCUAUAGGACGACUGAUCUAACCUGGUGUUAAGGGACCAUGGUGUCUACUGAGAUGUGCCCAUGCAGCAACUCUACUUUCAUUGCAACUGAGUCUGUUUCUGUGGGUGAAGCUGCUGUUACGGGUGUGUGAUGCUGUACCAAGGGCUCAUCUAAACGGAGUCAUUGAUUGAGACCAAGGUAAGUUACAAAUUGAAUGGAAGAGCUAUUCUCAGUUAACUUCAUCAUCCUAAUGAAGAGGCAAUUUGGAAUAGUUAAUAAGGAAUAGGUGCUCUGGAAUAAUCCCUUUUUAAGACAAACCCUCACUCUUUCUAUAAUUGCAUUCCAGGAAGCUAUUCUGUUCUGAAUCAGCAUGGGAUAGAGUGCCUAGAAGACGUUCAGACCAAGCACAGCUAGCGCGUCCCUGCUGGUUCUCCAUUCUGCAUCCGUGCAGCCACGUUCUAUUGAUGGCCUGUUGUGAUUUCAAUGGAACAUCAUGGGAUGUACCUGGCACGUCGGGCAGCACUGGAUGGAGGUGCCUUUAGCCCAAUGUACCUGGCAUGGUGGUAAAGUGAAGGU